rnacentral:rRNA from 1 species
GAAAUGCGAUAAGUAAUGUGAAUUGCAGAAUUCAGUGAAUCAUCGAAUCUUUGAACGCACCUUGCGCCCUUUGGCUAUUCCGAAGGGCAUGCCUGUUUGAGUAUCAUGAACACCUCAACCCUCAUGGUUUACCAUGGUGGGCUUGGACUUUGGGGGUCUUGCUGGAUUGUAGUCAGCUCCCCUUAAAUGAAUCAGCUUGCCAGUGUCUGGUGGCAUCACAGGUGUGAUAAUUAUCUACGCUUGUGGUUUUACAUCAGGUAACCUUCAGAGAUGGGGGGUUCACUGGGGCUCACAAAAGGUCUCUCCUCAGUGAGGAUGACUCUUUGAAUGUUUGAUCUCAAAUCAGGUAGGACUACCCGCUGAACUUAAGCAUAUCAAUAAGCGGAGGAAAAGAAACUAACAAGGGAUUCCCCUAGU